rnacentral:rRNA from 1 species
AGUCGGACGGUAGGGUGGUGCUUGCACUACCUGAGAGUGGCGAACGGGUGAGUAACACGUAGAUUAUCUACCUUUGGGAGUGGGAUAGCCUGUAGAAAUAUAGGGUAAUACCGCAUGAGGCCUGUUGAAGAGAUUUGGCGGGUGAAAGGAGCAAUUGUUCCGCCUGGAGAUGAGUCUGCGGUCCAUUAGUUUGUUGGUGGGGUAAUGGCCUACCAAGGCGAUGGUGGAUAGCCGGCCUGAGAGGGUGUACGGUCACACUGGGACUGAGACACGGCCCAGACUUCUACGGGAGGCAGCAGCUAAGAAUCUUCCGCAAUGGGCGAAAGCCUGACGGAGCGACGCCGCGUGAACGAUGAAGGCCGAGAGGUUGUAAAGUUCUUUUCUUGGUGAAGAAUAAAUGUAUGAGUGGAAAGCGUACAAGAUGACGUUAGCCGAGGAAUAAGCCCCGGCCAAUUACGUGCCAGCAGCCGCGGUAACACGUAAGGGGCGAGCGUUGUUCGGAAUUAUUGGGCGUAAAGGGCGUGUAGGUGGUUUUAUAAGCCUGGUGUUAAAAUCUCUGGCUCAACCAGAGUCGUGCGCUGGGAACUGUGAGACUAGAGUUCAGGAGGGGAAGCUGGAAUUCCUGGUGUAGGGGUGAAAUCUGUAGAUAUCAGGAAGAACACCGGUGGCGAAGGCGAGCUUCUAGCCAUGGACUGACGCUGAGGCGCGAAAGCGUGGGGAGCGAACAGGAUUAGAUACCCUGGUAGUCCACGCUGUAAACGAUGUGCACUGGGCGUAGGAUUCUUAUAGGAUUCUGUGCAGUAGCUAACGCGUUAAGUGCACC